rnacentral:rRNA from 1 species
GACGAACGCUGGCGGCGUGCCUAAUACAUGCAAGUAGGACGCAGUUGCGAACGGGUGAGUAACGCGUAGGUAACUGCCUAUUAGAGGGGGAUAACUAUUGGAAACGAUAGCUAAUACCGCAUACGAGUAGAUGGACCUGCGUUGUAUUAGCUAGUAGGUAGGGUAAUGGCCUACCUAGGCAACGAUACAUAGCCGACGUGUGAGGGUGAUCGGCCCCACUUGGACUUAGACCCGGGCCAUACUCCUACGGGAGGCAGCCGUAGGGAAUCUUCGGCAAUGGGGGGAAACCUGACCGCGCAACGCCGCGUGAGUGAAGAAGGUUUUCGGAUCGUAAAGCUCUGUUGUUAAGGAAGCGGUACUUAACCAGAAAGGGACGGCUAACUACGUGCCAGCAGCCGCGGUAAUUC